ACUACCUUAGUUCAGUUGGUAGAGCGCAGGCGUACAAAUGCAGAGGUUGUGGGUUCAAAUCCCCCAAGCAGUC
rnacentral:tRNA from 1 species